rnacentral:ncRNA from 1 species
GUGAGCCUAGUGAUAGGAGACUAUCUAGCUUGGUUCAAAGAGCACUUAUUUGGUUAAAGAUUUUUUUGUUGCUAAAUGUUUCGGCCUAAAUGCUGAACUUUUGACCCUAC